CCUACGGGGGGCUGCAGUGGGGAAUAUUGGGCAAUGGGCGAAAGCCUGACCCAGCGACGCCGCGUGGGUGAUGAAGGCCUUCGGGUUGUAAAGCCCUUUCGUUCGGAAAGAACAGCCCUGAGUUGAAUAUACUCAGGGUUUGACGGUACCGCAGGAAGAAGCACCGGCUAACUCCGUGCCAGCAGCCGCGGUAAUACGGAGGGUGCAAGCGUGGUUCGGGGGUAUGCAGGGGAUAGGGAGAGCAGGCGGUGAAAUCCUCCGGCUCAACUGGAGAACUGCAUCUGAAACUUCACAACUAGAGUACAGGAGAGGGAAACGGAAUUCCCGGUGUAGAGGUGAAAUUCGUAGAUAUCGGGAGGAACACCAGUGGCGAAGGCGGUUUCCUGGCCUGAUACUGACGCUGAGGCGCGAAAGCGUGGGGAGCAAACAGGAUUAGAUACCCCAGUAGUC
rnacentral:rRNA from 1 species